CAAGUGAUCGAGACGUCAGUCGAGAGCCGCCAUCCAAAGCCACAGGAGCCACAGCCCCCCCCCCCCCCGGGUGAGGACGAGGACGUCAAGGCCCCUUUCGGUUCACCAGCGCCACGAUGAUGCUGGCCGUCAUGCAGGCCGCCUUGCUUCUGCUGCUGCCGCUGGCCGUGCCCGCCCGCGCCCGCCUCCUCCAAGGUGUGCGGCUCGGACCACCGCACCUACGACAGCGACUGCCACUUGGAGUGCGCCGCCGUGCCUGGUCUGUCGCUGCUCCACCCCGGGCCGUGCUCCCCGGUGGACGCCGACGCCGCCCUAGCCCUACUGACCGUCGAGACCACCGGCCGCCGGCGCCGCCGCUCGGCCACCGAGGAGAUGAAGAAGUGGGAGGAUUGCAACAAUGAACGGCAGUGCGGUGCAGCGACCUGCAGCGAGUGCGGCAAGCGCAAGGACGACGCACCGUGCAAGCACAUGUGCACCGUGAACUGCUGGUGCGGCUGCGGCGGCCAGCCCCGCGGCGGCUCGGACUUCGACCUCUGGC